GCCGGGUGUGGUGGCGCGUGCCUGUAAUCUCAGCUACUUGGGAGGCCGAGGCAGAAGAAUCGCUUGAACCCAGGAGUUGGAGGUUGCAGUGAGCCAAGAUGGCGUCACUGCCUUCCAGCCUGGGCCACAGAACGAGACUCUGUUUCAA
rnacentral:SRP_RNA from 1 species